AACGAACGCUGGCGGCAGGCCUAACACAUGCAAGUCGAACGGAUCCUUCGGGAUUAGUGGCGGACGGGUGAGUAACGCGUGGGAACAUACCCUUUGGUACGGAAUAGCCUCGGGAAACUGGGAGUAAUACCGUAUGUGGUCGAGAGACGAAAGAUUUAUCGCCAAAGGAUUGGCCCGCGUUGGAUUAGGUAGUUGGUGGGGUAAUGGCCUACCAAGCCGACGAUCCAUAGCUGGUUUGAGAGGAUGAUCAGCCACACUGGGACUGAGACACGGCCCAGACUCCUACGGGAGGCAGCAGUGGGGAAUCUUAGACAAUGGGGGAAACUCUGAUCUAGCCAUGCCGCGUGAUCGAUGAAGGCCUUAGGGUUGUAAAGAUCUUUCAGGUGGGAAGAUAAUGACUGUACCACCAGAAGAAGCCCCGGCUAACUCCGUGCCAGCAGCCGCAGUAA
rnacentral:rRNA from 1 species